UAACUGGUACGUUAGUACCAGUUCUGCGCACGACGGCGGGCCCUGCCACCCGGUGCGUCGAC
rnacentral:ncRNA from 1 species